CCUACGGGAGGCAGCAGUGGGGAAUCUUGCGCAAUGGGCGAAAGCCUGACGCAGCAACGCCGCGUGCGGGAAGAAGGCUUUCGGGCUGUAAACCGCUUUCAGCAGGAACGAAAAUGACGGUACCUGCAGAAGAAGGAGCGGCCAACUAUGUGCCAGCAGCCGCGGUGAUACAUAGGCUUCAAGCGUUGUCCGGAUUUAUUGGGCGUAAAGAGUUCGUAGGCGGUCGAGUAAGUCGGGUGUGAAAAUUCUGGGCUCAACCCAGAGACGCCACCCGAUACUGCUUGACUUGAGUUCGAUAGGGGAGUGGGGAAUUCCUAGUGUAGCGGUGAAAUGCGCAGAUAUUAGGAGGAACACCGGUGGCGAAGGCGCCACUCUGGAUCGAUACUGACGCUGAGGAACGAAAGCAUGGGUAGCAAACAGGAUUAGAUACCCUGGUAGUCCAUGCGUAACGGUAGGGCGACUAGGUGGUGGGUUUCGUUAUUAACGUAAACUACCGCGCCGUCGCUAACGACAUUAAGUAGCCCGCCGUCGGGAGGUACGGUCGCGAGAACGUAAACUACAAUAGAAUUAGACGGCGUGAGACGUGCCGACGGACGACGACGAGGGAGGUAGG
rnacentral:rRNA from 1 species